rnacentral:rRNA from 1 species
CGAGGCACUACGGUGCUGAAGCAACAAAUGCCCUGCUUCCAGGAAAAGCCUCUAAGCAUCAGGUAACAUCAAAUCGUACCCCAAACCGACACAGGUGGUCAGGUAGAGAAUACCAAGGCGCUUGAGAGAACUCGGGUGAAGGAACUAGGCAAAAUGGUGCCGUAACUUCGGGAGAAGGCACGCUGAUAUGUAGGUGAAGUCCCUCGCGGAUGGAGCUGAAAUCAGUCGAAGAUACC